rnacentral:rRNA from 1 species
GUAUGCCAUCAUAUUAGCACUAGUACACGGGAUUCCAUCGAAACUCUGAAGAUAAGCGUGCUUGGGAGAAAAUGGUACUUAUUGAUAUGUC